rnacentral:rRNA from 1 species
GAUUAGAUACCCUGGUAGUCCACGCCGUAAACGUUGGGCGCUAGAUGUAGGGACCCUUCCACGGUUUCUGUGUCGUAGCUAACGCAUUAAGCGCCCCGCCUGGGGAGUACGGCCGCAAGGCUAAAACUCAAAGGAAUUGACGGGGGCCCGCACAAGCGGCGGAGCAUGCGGAUUAAUUCGAUGCAACGCGAAGAACCUUACCAAGGCUUGACAUACACCGGAAACGGCCAGAGAUGGUUGCCCCCUUGUGGUCGGUGUACAGGUGGUGCAUGGUUGUCGUCAGCUCGUGUCGUGAGAUGUUGGGUUAAGUCCCGCAACGAGCGCAACCCUCGUUCUAUGUUGCCAGCGCGUUAUGGCGGGGACUCAUAGGAGACUGCCGGGGUCAACUCGGAGGAAGGUGGGGAUGACGUCAAAUCAUCAUGCCCCUUAUGUCUUGGGCUUCACGCAUGCUACAAUGGCCGGUACAAAGGGCUGCGAUACCGUAAGGUGGAGCGAAUCCCAAAAAGCCGGUCUCAGUUCGGAUUGAGGUCUGCAACUCGACCUCAUGAAGUCGGAGUCGCUAGUAAUCGCAGAUCAGCAACGCUGCGGUGAAUACGUUCCCGGGCCUUGUACACACCGCCCGUCAAGUCAUGAAAGUCGGUAACACCCGAAGCCGGUGGCCUAACCCUUGUGGAAGGAGCCGUCGAAGGUGGGAUCGGUGAUUAGGACUAAGUCGUAACACAGG